UGGUUGCUAGGGGCGCUUGGAACGGAAGGUGUGUGGUGAGAGUUCACGUUUUAGAGACGUUGUGAAGCCAUCCCAAGAUUGGCAACUGGGGAACUUGUAUGGAGAGUCGGUCUGUCUGAACCCUGGUUUGAUAGGUCCCUCGCCGACUCCCGCAAUCCCCGCCAGAGCGCGUUGGUCCCAGUCUCUCCUCGCUCUCCACCUGCCCGGCCUUUGGCGGGACUCCCCGCUUUUCCGGCUUCGGCGCGGACUUCCUCCAGGUGCUGUGUGACGGCCUCCAGGACUCGACUUGGGAGGUGAUGAGGUGCGCUCCGGUGCGUCUGAGCGGGCGCCGGGGGCGAGUCCAGUCGCUUCAGCACACCCCUCCCGUGGCUCGUUUGUUGAGAAAAGUUGGUGAGUUCUAGUCGGUAGGAAAGUCUUCAAGUUUCCGCACGGUCAAGAUAAUGAGGACCUUCAAGAAUGUCUUCGAACUUGGCAGAUUAAAUAGGGUCAAAGAAAUCCCACCCCUAUUGUUCCAGACUAAGCCCAUCCCCUGGGGCUUAAUCAAGGCAGAGAAGCUGCCAGAGUAAGGAGGCCAAACCUGUGGGAAAGUGGCAUGGAAUAAGAAUGGCAACUAAGAAGCUAUACUAAGAGUUCAGUGAAAUCCCAAUAAAAUGUCUUGAUGCUGAGGCUCAGAGGAGUCCCUGGUUGGUGAACACGGGUGUGCUGGGAAGGUGACAUGUCCUGGCUCCCCAGGGAGAAGAUAUGGGAGCUCCAUGUUGAAAACCCUCCCAGACCUCAUCCUAUGUGUCCCUUCAUUUGGCUGG